rnacentral:rRNA from 1 species
AGUAAAGAGUAAUUUAAUUUAGUAGUAAUACUUUUAAUUAACUUCUUAAAGGAAGAAAGAUUUUAAUUUUUUUUUUUUCAUUAAAAAGUUUUAUACUUUUAAUGAAAGUCUUGCAUUCCUAGGGCGCUUGUCUCUCGCGUUGCGAGUAUAUGCGCACCUAAAGCGUACACGAUGAUACCCGAAAGAUGGUGAACUAUGCCUGGCCAGGACGAAGCCAGGGGAAACCCUGGUGGAGGUCCGCAGCGAUUCUGACGUGCAAAUCGAUCGUCAGAGCUGGGUAUAGGGGCGAAAGACCAAUCGAACCAUCUAGUAGCUGGUUCCCUCUGAAGUUUCCCUCAGGAUAGCUUGCGCUCAUUUUUGAGUCUCAUCCGGUAGAGCGAAUGAUUAGAGGCAUUGGGGUCGAAACGACCUCAACCUAUUCUCAAACUCCAAAUAGAUGAGAA